rnacentral:misc_RNA from 1 species
GAUGGAGAACGUAGCGAAAUGCGAUAAGUAAUGUGAAUUGCAGAAUUCAGUGAAUCAUCGAAUCUUUGAACGCACCUUGCACCCUUUGGCAUUCUGAAGGGUAUGCUCGUUUGAGUGUCAUUGUACUCUCACACUCCCGAUCUUUGCAUUGGGAGCAGUGGACUUGGGUUUGCUGCUUCACCGUCGCUUACCUCAAAUAGGUUAGUGCAACUCUUGGUUGGACAUAGUACGGCGUGAUAAGUGUUCUUCGCCGGUGCCUCGCAAAGAGGGUGGCCGAUCGGGAUGUUGUGCUCCAAACCGUCUUCGGACAAUCUCUGACGACUUGACCUCAAAUCGAGUAAGACUACCCGCUGAACUUAAGCAUAUCAAUAAGCGGAGGA